UUUAAGCGUAACUAUGAGUUUUCAUGUCUAAUUUUAAUAGUUUAUAGGUUUUUAUGAUUAAUAUUUUUGUUGUUAUUAGAUGAUAAAACAUGAAUAAUAAUUUAUAUGUGACUUAUGAAUUUUUAAUUUUUUUAAUUUUUUUUAAAUAAAAUGGACAAUUAAAGUUAGGCACGGAGACUCAUCGCAACACUUAAA
rfam:Oryza sativa Indica Group scaffold000599 genomic scaffold, whole genome shotgun sequence.